CACCGCGGUUAUACGAGAGGCCCGAGUUGAUAGUUUUCGGCGUAAAGAGUGGUUAGAUAAAACAAAAACUAAAGCCGAACACCCUCAGAACUGUUAUACGCACCCGAGGGUAAGAAGCCCUUUCACGAAAGUAGCUUUAAUAGUAUUGACCCCACGAAAGCUGUGAAA
rnacentral:rRNA from 2 species